rnacentral:lncRNA from 1 species
CCCCAAAGUACACAUCCCAAGGCGUUCAUCCCAAAGUGCCCAUCCCAGCAUUCAUGUCCCAAAGCAUGCAUCCCAAGGUGUCCAUCCCAAAGAACCCAUCCCUAUGUGCAUGUCCCAAAGCAUGCAUCCCAAAGCGCCCAUCCCCAAGCACCCAUCCCAAAGUAUGCAUCCCAAAUGCCCAUCUCAAAAUGCAUGUCCAAAAAUGCCCAUCCCAAAGUGCUCAUCCCCUCAGUUCAGUGGAGACAGGGAUGUCCAGAGCUGGGCUAGAGGUGUCAAGAGGAGGUGGCACUCCAAAGAGGUCAGAAAAGAGAAGGCUCUUCCAGUGUGCCUGCUCCCCCUUUAUUUGUUUGCAUCGCUGAGCUUUAACACUCUCACUUUGGGCUGUUCAUGCAAAUCCUUCCCUUAAAAAAAAUAAAUGAAAGAGAACCUAGAAGAGACCCCACACUGUGCCUCUGGAAAUGCGCUCACGGCUGCAGAAUCCCGUUUCCUGAGUCGGAGCCAAUUUUCUAACCAUUGUAGCAUUCUUCCACAGUUUCAUCCUGUAAUUGCUAAUACACAGCUUUUCCUACACGCUUUGGAAACACAAAACACGCAACGCUGUGUCUCUCAUCCUCCAGGCAGGACAAAAACUGAGCACUUCUCAGAUGUUGAGAAUAAAUUUUCAGUGCACCAGGCAAAAGCAGCAUCACAUGGCACGUUCUCCAUCACUGCCUGGACAACACUGUGCCCCCACGUUAUCUUUUCCAAUUUACCUCCCUUGUCUCAGCAAGUUGCUGUGAGAUGCACUCCCCACUUCAGAGGGACUGCAGAACUAACGCAUCACUUCACAUUUCUCCUCAGCCAAAGUAAUGGACCAAUGGACCAAUUUCUGUGGUCCAUCGAAUGCAGCCUUCCCUAAAUCCACCCUGCACCAAUGCUUUCCAUCCCAUUUUGCCUUAGUUUCCAGCACAACCCCACAAACACAGCCCAAGAUCACAUUUUCCAUUGCAUGCUCGCGAACGUUUCCUUUUUCUAUUGCUUACAAUCUCCCUGAG